UACGUAGGGCGCAAGCGUUAUCCGGAAUUAUUGGGCGUAAAGAGCUCGUAGGCGGUCUGUCGCGUCGGAUGUGAAACCCAGGGCUCAACCUCGGCCUGCAUUCGAUACGGGCAGACUAGAGUUCGGUAGGGGAGACUGGAAUUCCUGGUGUAGCGGUGAAAUGCGCAGAUAUCAGGAGGAACACCGGUGGCGAAGGCGGGUCUCUGGGCCGAAACUGACGCUGAGGAGCGAAAGCGUGGGGAGCAAACAGG
rnacentral:rRNA from 1 species